AUGGCUGCCCUCAGAUCCCUGGUGAAACCCAAGAGGACCAAGAAGUUCAUCCGGCACCAGUCAGACCAAUAUGUCAAGAUUAAGCAUAACUGGUGGAAGCCCAGAGAUAUCGACAACAGGGUGUGUAGAAGAUUCAAGGGCCAGAUCUUGAUGCCCAACACGGGUUACGGGAGCAACAAGAAAACAAAGCACAUGCUGCCUAGUGGCUUCCAGAAGUCCCUGGUCCACAAUGUCAAGGAGCUGGAAGUGCUGCUGAUGUGCAACAAAUCUUAUUGUGCUGAGAUUGCUCACAAUGUUUCCUCCAAGCACUGCAAAGCCAUUAUAGAAAGAACAGCCCAGCUGGCCAUCAGAGCCACCAAUCCUAAUGCCAGGCUGCACAUUGAUCCGGUUUUCCCGCCCCCGCCACGGGUCUCAGCAGCUCAAGCGGCGGGAGGAGCGGUGGCGAUUCGGCAGCCCAGCUUCGCGAAGGCUCUCCGUGCCGCUGCCUGCAGGCACCCGGUACGCACCCUGCCCGCCGCCAAGAUACCCAAGAGGAAGGUCAGCUCCACCGAGGGGGCGGCGAAGGAGGAGCCCAAGAGGAGAUCGGCGCGGUUGUCGGCUAAACCUGCUCCUGCAAAAGUGGAAGCAAAGCCAAAAAAGGCAGCAGAAAAGGAUAAAUCUUCAGACAAAAAAGUGCAAGCAAAAGGGAAAAGGGAGCAAAGGGAAAGCAGGCUGAAGUGGCUAACCAAGAAACUAAAGAAGAGUUACCUGCAGAAAAUGGAAAAACUAAAACUGAGGAGAGAAUCCAGCCUCUGAUGAAGCAGGAGAGAAAGAAGACAAGCCUGAAUAA